GAUGAACGCUGGCGGCGUGCCUAAUACAUGCAAGUCGAGCGAACAGAUGAGGAGCUUGCUCCUCUGACGUUAGCGGCGGACGGGUGAGUAACACGUGGAUAACCUACCUAUAAGACUGGGAUAACUUCGGGAAACCGGAGCUAAUACCGGAUAAUAUAUUGAACCGCAUGGUUCAAUCGUUAAAGACGGUUUUGCUGUCACUUAUAGCUUGAUCCGCGCCGCAUGAGCUAGUUGGUAAGGUAACGGCUUACCAAGGCAACGAUGCGUAGCCGACCUGAGAGGGUGAUCGGCCACACUGGAACUGAGACACGGUCCAGACUCCUGCGGGAGGCAGCAGUAGGGAAUCUUCCGCAAUGGGCGAAAGCCUGACGGAGCAACGCCGCGUGAGUGAUGAAGGUCUUCGGAUCGUAAAACUCUGUUAUUAGGGAAGAACAAAUGUGUAAGUAACUAUGCACGUCUUGACGGUACCUAAUCAGAAAGCCACGGCUAACUACGUG
rnacentral:rRNA from 1 species